GUAUAGAUAAUUAAUAUGUUAGACCAUCACAUCUAUCAUAGGAUAUGUGAGACCACAAUAAGGAACAAGAAAAUGACAAUAAAGCAUAAGGGUUAGCAUGAAGUGAAGAAAUUGUGUUUCCCAAUUAAUAACCAGACAUUAAGCACUAAACGUCUAAAAUGCAUUUCCAAAAUUUCAUAACCAGUUCAUACCGACGCAAUACUUUUUCAAUUUGAAUAUAUUCCUUUGUAAUAAAAUCCAAAAGCAUAACAUAUAAAGGACACAAAGGAAGGGGGAAAGGUGAUUUGUUGCUUUUAGCCAAGGAAAGAUCAACAAAAAAUUGUCAGAAAAAAAAGUCAAAGGCAAACCUGAAGUGAACAUUUUGCCAAAAACUGAACUAUUCUUUCCUUCUUCUCGUGCUCCAUUAGUCUUCAAGAUAUGCAAAUCAUGUCAAUCUAGGUGAUAAGAAAACAAAACAAAAUAUUAACAGAUCAUGAUUUUGUUUAGCGAGUUAAGUAGACUUGCCUGUUUUUUUUUUUGGAACACCCUUUUAUUUCCUCUUCUCAGAGGCCGAGGGAGAUUUUUUGUGGUUCCCAAAAGAAAAAAAGAAUUAUACAGAAAAGUUAUGGCAAGCAAAAAAGGGAGAAAUUAUACAUAGAAAAGGGAAAAUGAAGGUGAGAAAAUAAAACCUGUGAGUAGCCAGAUGAAAAAAUAGUGAGCGAUCUACAAGAUCACACAAAAAAUUGUGGUCCAAAAGAAGUAAGAAAUUAGGCAUAAAAAUAGCAAAUUAACUAUAUAAAAGAACCUGGUAUCAGAUUUUCAGCUUCCAAUAGUGGGGAAAAAAUUAGAUAGAAGAGGAGGAGAUAAAAGGAGAGUUGAAUUUAAGGAAGACUUCUUCAUAAAAUGAGUCUUCAGAGGUUUUGGUAUGGAGAAGAAAGAUGAUUUUGGAUGGACAAAAGAGAAGUGAGGAGAGAUGAUCGAGAAAAACGAGUCAUGGAUAGGUGAUUUGCAGCGGAGA
rnacentral:lncRNA from 1 species